ACUCCUACGGGAGGCAGCAGUAGGGAAUCUUCCACAAUGGACGAAAGUCUGAUGGAGCAACGCCGCGUGAGUGAAGAAGGUUUUCGGAUCGUAAAACUCUGUUGUAAGGGAAGAACACGUACGAGAGUAACUGCUUGUACCUUGACGGUACCUUAUUAGAAAGCCACGGCUAACUACGUGCCAGCAGCCGCGGUAAU
rnacentral:rRNA from 1 species